AAAUUUACCAAUGCUUGUUUUGUGGCUCAAUAUAUGACCUAUCCUGGAGACUAUUCCCAUGAGCACUUGAAAAGAAUAUAUAGGAGUUCCCGUCGUGGUGCAGUGGUUAACGAAUCCGACUAGGAACCAUGAGGUUGCAGGUUCAAUCCCUGCCCUUGCUCAGUGGGUUAAGGAUCCGGUGAGCCGUGAGCUGUGGUGUAGGUCGCAGAUGUGGCUCGGAUCCCGCGUUGCUGUGGCGCUGGUGGAGGCCGGUGGCUACAGCUCUGAUUAGACCCCUAGCCUGGGAACCUCCAUAUGCCACUGGAGUGGCUCUAGAAAAGGCAAAAGGACCAAAAAAAAAAGAAAAGAAAAGAAUAUAUAUUCUGCUGCUUUUGGAUAGAAUGCUCUAUAAAAAUCAAUUAAGUUCAUCUGGUCUAAUGUGUCAUUUAAGGCUUGUGUUUCCUUGUUGAUUUUUUUGUCUGGAUGAUCUGUCCAUUGCUGUAAGUGAGGUGUUAAAGUGCCCCCACUGUUAUUGUGUCACUGUUGAGUUCUCCUUUUAUGUCUGUCAGUAUUUGCCUUAUGUAUUGAUGUGUUCCUAUGUUGUGUGCAUAUGUAUUUACAAUUGAUAUAUCUUCUUAGAUUGACCCCUUGAUCAUUAUGCAGCAUCCUUCUUUGUGUUUUGUAGCAGUCUUUAUUGUAAAGUCUAAUUUUGUCUAUGAGUAUCAUUUGAUUUCCAUUUGCAUGGAAUAACUUUUUCCAUCCCCUCACUCUCAGUCUGAAUGUGUCCCUAGACCUCAAGUAGGUCUCUGGUAGACAAUGUAUAUACUGGUCUUAUUUUUUUUUUUAUCCAUUCUUUAGGUUUGAGUCUUUAGGUUCGAAUGUUUAAUCCAUUUACAUUUAAGGUAAUUACUGAUACAUAUGUUCUUAUUGCCAUUUUGUUAAUUGUUUCAUUUUUUGUUGUUUUGCUGGUUUGUUUGUUUGCUUGAUUUUUAGGGCCAUACCUGUGGGAUAUGAAAGUUCCCAGGCUAGGGGUUGAAUGAGAGCUGCAGCUUCCAGCCUAGGGCACAGCCACAGCAAUGCAGGAUCUGAGCCAUGUCUGCAACAUAUGCCACAGCUCAAGGAAACACUGGAUCCUUAACCCACUGAGUGAGGCAGGGCUUGAACCCAUAUCUUCAUGGAUACUAAUCAGUAUCAUAACCCACUGAGCCACAAUGGAAACUCCCUUGGAUUUGUCUUUGAAGGUCUUUUUUCUUCCCUUCCUCUUUUGUGCUCUUCUCUUGUGAUUUGAUGACUCUCUCUAGUGUUGUGUUUGGAUUGCCUUUUCUUGUUUGUGUGUGUAUCUGUUGUAGGUUUUUGAUUUGCUGUUACCAUGAGGUUUUGAUACAGUACAGCAGUCAAUAUAUAUACAAGAUUGUUUUAGGUUGCUGGUCUCUUAAUUUCAAAUACAUUUCCAAUAUCCUACAUUUGUGCUCUCCUCUUCUUAGGAUUGCUAGUAUUGAUAUCAUAUUUGUGUGUAGAUGAUUCCCUACCUUUACUAUAUGUUUGCAUUUACCAGUGAGCUUUCCCAUUCAUAAUUGUAUUGUUUCUAGUUGUGGCCUUUUCUUUUCAGCUUAGAGAAGUUCCUUUAGCAUUUGUUAUAAAGCUGAUUUGGUGGUGCUAAAUUCUCUUAGUUUUUGCUUGUCUGUAAAGCUUUUGAUUUCUCUGUUGAAUCUGAAUGAAAGCCUUACUGGGGAGAAUAUUAUUGGCUGUAGGCUUUUCCCUUUCAUCAUUUUAAAUAUAUCAUGCUACUGUCUUCUGGCCUGCAGAGUUUCUGCUGAAAAAUCAGCUGAUAACUUUGUGGGAAUUUCCUCGUAUGUUAUUUGUUGCUUUUCCCUUGUUCUUUUAAAUACUUGGUCUUUAAUUUUUACCAAUUUGUUUAAUAUGUGUCUUGGCAUGUUCCUCCUUGGGUUUAUCCUGAAUGGGACUCUCUGUGCUUCCUGGACUUGGGUGACUGUUUCCUCUCCCGUGUUAGGGAAGUUUUCAGCUUUUACUUCUUCAAAUAUUUUCUCAGUUCCUCUCUCUCUCUUCUCCUUCUGGGGUCUCUACAAUGCAAAUGUUGGUGUGUUUACCAUUGUCCCAGAGGUCUUUUAAACUGUCAUUUCUUUUCAUUCUUUUUUUCUUUAUUCUGUUCUGCAGGGGUGACUUCAGUUUACUUAUCUGUUCUUCUGCCUCAUUUAUUCUGCUAUUGAUUCCUUCUAGUAUAUUUUUCAUUUCAGUUGUUGUAUUGUUCAACUCUCUUUGUUCUUUAAAUUAUCUAGCCCUUUGUUAAACAUUUCUUUUGUCUUCUUGGUUCAUGCCUCUAUUCUUUUUCUGAGACCUUAGAUCAUCUUUACUAUCAUUAGUCUAAAUUCUUUGUUUUUUCUUUCUUUUCUAUUUUUUUUCUCUUUUUUUUUCUUUUUAGGGCCUCACCUGCAGCGUUUGGAAGUUCCCAGGCUAUGGGUCAAAUUUGAGCUACAGCCACAGCCUACUUCAUACCCACAGCAUGCCAGAUCAGAACCACCUAUUCAACCUAUGCCACAGCUUGCAGCAAUGCCAGAUCCUUAACCCACUGAGUAAGACCAGGGAUCGAAUCCACAUCCUCAUGGAUACUCUCUGAUUCUUAACCCCCUGAGCCACAGCAGGAACUCCAGUCUGAAUUCUUUUCCUGGUAUACUGCCUAUCUCCUCUUCACUUAGUUGUUCUUCUAGGAUUUUAUCUUGUUUCUUUGUCUGAAAUAUUUUCCUCUGCCAUCUCAUUUUGUCUAACUUUCUGUGUUUGACAUCUCUGUUCCACAAACUGCAGGACUGUGUUUCCUCUUGCUUCUUGUGUCUGCCCUCUGGUAAGUGAGGCUGAUAGAGAGGCUUGUUUAUUUGGCCUGAGGUGUCCCAGCACUGGAGCCUACAGGCUAUUGGGUGGGACUGGGUCUUGAGGUAAAAAUGAUAGCCUCCAAGAGAGCUCAUGCCAAUGAGUACUCCCAAGUACCCACACCACCAGUGUCAUUGUCCUCAUAAUUGCCCCACACCUCCCCAGAAGACCCUUCAAGAUCAGCAAGUAGGUCUGACCAAGGCUCCUCUGAAGUCACUGCUUUUUCCCUGGGUCCCAGGGCACAUGGCCAAGAGUAUGUGCUGUCCAAGAGUAGAGUCUCUGUUUCCCUCAGUUUUGUGGAGUUGUUGCAGUUAAGCCCCACUGGGAGUCCCCAUCAUGGCGCAGUGGAAACGAAUCUGACUAGGAACCAUGAGGUUGUGGGUUCAAUCCCUGGCCUUGCUCAGUGGGUUAAGGAUCCAGCAUUGCCAUGAGCUGUGGUGUAGGUCACAGAUGCGGCUUGGAUCUGGUGUUGCCGUGCCUCUGGCAUAGGCCAGCAGCAACAGUUCCGAUUCAACCCCUAACCUAGGAACUUCCAUAUGCCACAGGUGUGGCCCUGAAAAGCCAAAAAAGCACCCCACUGGCCUUCAAAGCCAAAUGCUCUUGGGACUCCUCCUCCUGAUGCCAGACCCACAAGCUGGGGAGCCAGACAUGGGUUCAGAACUCUAACUCCUGUGGGACAGCCUCUGCAGUCUAUUAUUUUCCAAUCUCUGGGUCAUCCACCUGGAGGGUAUGGGAUUUGAUUAUAUCACAUAUGUGCUCCUCCUACCAUUUUGUUGUGCCUUCUUCUUUGUCUUUGGAUGUAGACUCUCUUUUUGGGUGGGAUUUGAUUAUAUCACAUAUGUGCUCCUCCUACCAUUUUGUUGUGCCUUCUUCUUUGUCUUGGAUGUAGACUUUCUUUUUUUUGUUAAUUGUUCAGCAGUUAGUUGUGCUUUUGGUGUUUUUGUGAGAGGAGGUGAGCUCAAGUCCUUCUACUCUGCCAUCUUCCCCAAUUCUUUGUUGUUAGAUUAAGUAAACAUAAGAUUACUCUGUCAAAUUGCUGUGCAGUUUCUGAAUGUGACUUUCAAUAUCUGUACUUGCAUUAUUACAGUCCUAUAAGCAGUGGAACACAGCUUGAACACACCAGUUCAUGCCGUGAAUAGCUCUGUCCUACAGUAUUUACUGUUAAUGAAAACUGUCCAGAGAAUUAUCUCCUCAGAAGACUUGUCUGCCUUUCAUAUUCUUUAAGGGGAACUGGGGAAAGGCUGUAGAACUCUGGCUGGAAUCCACGAACCCUGCCUUUCACAUGAGAGAAGGCACACAAGUUUGCAGGGACAAUAGAAUUCCAAAUACUUUAUGCAAAUGCUCCCCACUCAAGGAGUGGAGCCCUACCUCUUAAGUGUGGGCUUUGCUUAGUGACUUGCUUCCAAAGAGUACAGUUGGAAGUGGGGGAAUGAGAAAGGAACUUUGCAGUAGAGAAUCUUGGUGAACACUUCCUCAGCCAAGUGAUCAUGUUAACCUUCUCAGUGAUAAGUCCAGGUAAUACACUUACAGUUGAUAUGUUAUACUGAGAAGAGCGCUUCACCUCUGUGGCCUCCUCCCCAAAGUCCAUAAUGCCAGUCUAACCACAAGAAAAACAUCAGAAAAACUCAAAUUGAGACAUAGUCUACAAAAUACUGACCAGUAAUCCUCAAAACAGGUAGGGUCUUUAGAAGCAAGGAAAAUCUGAGAAACUGUCACGACCCUCAAAAUCCAAAGGACACAUGAUGACUAAAUGCAGUGAGUUGAAUUUUGUCCCCUCCAAAGAUAUGUCCAAGUGCCAGCCCCCAGUACCUGUGAAUGUGACCUUAGUCGGAAAUAGGAUUUUACAGAUGUAAUUAGAUGAAAGAUGUCAAGAUGAGAUUACCCUGGAUUUAAUGUGAGCCCUAAAUUCAAUGACUGGUGUCUUUAUAAGAGAAAAGAGAGAGCAAUUUGAGGCAAAUAGAAACAGAGAUGCACAGGAAGACCAUGUGAAGACGGAGGCAGAAUUGGCAUUAUCAAUUUCAAACUAUCGCCCACAAGCCAAGGCACACUUGGAGCCACCAGAAACUGGAAGAAGCAGGAAGGGUCCCCCCUUAGAGCCUUCAGAGGGAGAGUUCCCUAUAGAACUCCAGAGAGAAUACAAUUCUGUUGGUUUAAGCCACCAAAUUUGUGGUAAUUUGUUACAGAAGUCCUAAGAAACCAGAACUGGUAUCUUGGAUGGGAUCCUGGAAUGGAAAAAUGACAUUGGGGAAAAACUAAUGAAAUCCAAGUAUAGUAUGAAGUGUAGUUCAAACACAUUAAUAUUGGUCCAUUAGUUGUGAAAAUAUGCCCUAAUAACAUAAGAUGUUAACAAUGGGGGCAGGAGUUCCUGUUGGGGCAGGAGUUCCUGUUGUGCCAUAGUGGAAGUGAAGCCAACUAGUAUCCACUAGGAUGCAGGUUUGAUCCCUGGCCUUACUCACUGGGUCAGGGAUCCGGUGUUGCUGUGAGCUGUGGUGUAGGUUGCAGAUGCAGUUUGGAUCCCACGUUGCUGUGGCUGUGGCUGUGGCCUAGGCAGGCAGCUACAGCGUUGGUUGGACCCCUAGCCUGGGAACUUCCAUAUGCCAUGGGUGCAGCCUUAAAAAGCAAAAAAAAACAAAGCAAAACAAAACAAAAACAAACAAUAAAACCAGUAGGGGAAAUUGAAUGAGGAAUCUAUGGUUUAUGUAGGAACUCUCUAUUACUUGCGCAGCAUUUCUGUAAACCUGAAACUAUUCUAGGGGAAGUUCCUGUUGUGGCUCAGUGGGUUCAGAACCCAACUAAUAUCCAUGAGAAUGAGGUUCGAUCCCUGGCCUCACUCAGUGGGUUAAGGAUCCAACAUGGCCACAAGCCGUGGUGUAGGUCUCAGACAUGUGGUGUAGGCUGGUGGUUGCAGCUCCAAUUCAAUUCUUAGCCCAGGAACUUCCAUAUCCCACAGGUAUAGCUGUAAAAAGACAAAAAAAUGAAAAUAAAAAAUGUUUUAAAUAAAACUAUCCUAAAAUUCGAAAAAUUUGUUUUAAAAACUGCAUGGGGGUGAAAAAAAACCAAACCUGUAUUUAAACAGGUGCUCUGUAACCUGUAAUUCAGCCUGUGGGUGGCUUUGUCCUAGAAAAUGCAUGUCCCAGUAGGCAACCCACUAAGGUCUGUGAGUUGAUCAGUGAGCUACAUUUACUCCCUUUCCACCAAUUCUUCUCGUGGCCCUGCUGUCACCUCUGCCAUCCCCUCGCUUUAACUCAAGCAUAUGACUUCAGCUGAAUAUGAAUUAAUCCUGACUUCUUUACAACCACAUGAAGAAUAUCAUCUGCUUAAAAGUGCUUUUGACUCAGAGUUAGUGAGCCCUGACUUUGGACAGGACUCUGUAUAUCAUUUUGGGGUAUCUCCCCCUCCCAACUUUUCUGAGAAUUUUUACACGCACUGCUCUCUGUCAUCACGUUUGUUAUGUUCGAAUCCCAAGACUCCACCCCCAUGACCAUCACUGGUUGAACCAGGACUGAACACCUGACUCUGGAAAGGCAAAUCCACAGUCUUGCCAAUGGUCUUUCAGAUUCUUGGGAAAGCAGUCAAAC
ensembl:lncRNA